ACAAGACAGAGAAAACUGCAAAGGUUACGCCAUGAGAACACUUUAUCUUUAACAACAGGGAGGGACGUUUUAUUGCAUUCAGGCAUUAUGCAACAACUACCACCACUGCCACGGUGAGAGACGAUGAGCAGCGGUAACCUUCAGCUGUGUUGACACAACGCCAGACCCAUCUGAAACCAACACCCGAGGCUAGCUGUUUAGCUUACAACACGGGCUGUUUGCACUCAGCCAGUCAACUAUACAAUACCCUUGGAUUGUCCCAUAUGUAGUGCAGCGGUGGAGGAAGAAGUAUUCAGUUCCUGCUCGGCUGCUGUGAGAGGAGAUGGGGAGGAGCAGGAGGACAUGUGUCGCAGGUAUCCCUGGAAGCACAGGUCCUCCUGCAAACAGAGAGACGGUGCUUAGUCAUCAGAAGAAGAUUCAUGGAGGAGCUGUCGUACCGGAGGGAUUUUACUGACCUCGACUGUGCCAAACACCUCGUCUUUGAUAUGACCUCCUCCAAACUCUUUCUUCAGUGUGGCACGUGUAGCUGCGUACAUCAUCUUUUGCCUCACCUGGAGGAAGGAAGACACAAUUCAGAGUGGUCCAGGUGGUUACAGGUUCUCACCUUGCAGUGUGACCAGGGAAAUACCGGAUGUACUUGUUGUCGACCAGAGACAGGUAUCUUAUGGUAUCUACAAGACACAAAACCAUUUUAUUUUCAAACACUAAAACAC